rnacentral:lncRNA from 1 species
CAUAACCCGGGCCAGUCGAGCCUCACUAGCCAGAUGAAGCUAUCUGUCUGCUUAUAAAGUUAGCUUUGGGCAACAGGGUUAAGUAGCUGGAUAGCUAGUUAUUUUCAUGAACUGAAGUUCAAUUUCAGUAGGUGAACAACAAGUGGCAACCUAGCUAAUACUUACUCACAAGGAUUGCAAAAUCAUUUCUAAGAAUAAUGAAAAUGACUGCAGGUUCUACUGGUCAUUGUUUUCAGGCUGGUUGUAUUGGUGCUAGCUAGGUACCAAGCUAAAGCUAGCAACCCCAGAAGUCGCGGUCGAACAUAUGCUUUAUUACCAACGUGGUAUUGUAAACACAUCGUUCGUGGCCAGUGUUUGCUUGUUUGCAGACUUUUUUAUACAGAUUUGACAGUGCUACUGAUAGUAGUGGUGGCGCCGGGCUUGCAUGUGCAAAUUCACAACACUCUACAAUAGAACUGUGUUAUUUGACGUGCAUCCUUUUUGACAUUUAAAGACCCAAACGGCAUUCCAUAGCUUUGAGUUUGGGCUUAAUCACUCAGUGUGUGUGGUUUACACACUGUGUUUGCACAAUGAGCCACAUCUUAUUAAGGAUACCGCAGCCUUUGCAACAGAAGCACGUUUCUUUUCCCUGUCAGAAUGACAUCAAAGUCCACUAACAUUGAAGAACACACACCAUCCUUAUCCUGAUUUACUUCACUUUGUUACUCUUGAGAUGAUCGAAGCUGUAAGACACCAGGGCUGUGAUGAGAUACAUGAGCAUGCCUGUGUAGUGCCCCACCACCAGGCAGAGUGGCUGUGCCAGGACGAACAGACAGAAGACGUUGACGCUGGCGCUCUCUGCCAGCUCCACCCGGUCCUCCUGACUGGCACGCAGCACGCCAAAGAAAUAUAUCAACGCCACCGCCGGGUAAAAGGCCAACUCAACCAUGGUGCCGUCCGAGUCAAGGGAGAGUGCUGGUGUGCUGCUCUUGAUGAUGUCCGAGACGUAGACGCAAACAAACUCCACGCGGGGAAACCAGAAGUUCCACACACAUAUACUCGUUGGUCUUUCAGUCCUACCGACACACACAGAGAUGACAGAUGAGAUGUGAGGGUAUGUCCUGCAGAGAGAGAACGAUGGACCUUUGAUCAUCAGUUCUGUUGGAUCAGUAAAACAUUAGCUAUUAUCUGAUGGGGUCAAAGCCUUCUCACACUAUGUAUGUAUGUGUGUGUGUGUGUGUGUGUCUAUAUUACCCAGGUCUUAUCUGAUGGGGCCAAGGCCUUAUGUGCCAGAGCAUACAGCUAUAACUACUGACAACAGAUAUGAUACAAAUAAAUAAAAAACUCAC